UACGGAGGGUGCAAGCGUUAUCCGGAUUCACUGGGUUUAAAGGGUGCGUAGGCGGGCAUUUAAGUCAGCGGUGAAAUCCCCGAGCUUAACUUGAGAACUGCCGUUGAUACUAUUUGUCUUGAAUGUCGUGGAGGUCAGCGGAAUAUGUCAUGUAGCGGUGAAAUGCUUAGAUAUGACAUAGAACACCUAUUGCGAAGGCAGCUGACUACGCGAUUAUUGACGCUGAGGCACGAAAGCGUGGGGAUCAAACAGGAUUAGAUACCCUGGUAGUCCACGCCCUAAACGAUGAUUACUCGACAUUGGCGAUACACAGUCAGUGUCUGAGCGAAAGCAUUAAGUAAUCCACCUGGGAAGUACGACCGCAAGGUUGAA
rnacentral:rRNA from 1 species